ACAGCCACAUCAUGUUGAAACAUUGGUUCCCGUAAGAUCACUAAAGUUAAGCAACGUCGAACCUGGUCAGUACUUAGACGGGUGAUCGCUUGGGAAUCAAUGAAUACCAGGUGCUGUAA